GACGAACGCUGGCGGCGUGCCUAAUACAUGCAAGUCGAACGCAGUUGCGAACGGGUGAGUAACGCGUAGGUAACCUGCCUCCUUGCGGGGGAUAACUAUUGGAAACGAUAGCUAAUACCGCAUACAGUGAGAUGGACCUGCGUUGUAGUGGCUAGUUGGUGAGGUAAAGGCUCACCAAGGCGACGAGACAUAGCCGACCUGAGAGGGUGAUCGGCGACACUGGGACUGAGACACGGCCCAGACUCCGACGGGAGGAAGAAGUGGGGAAUUUUGGACAAUGGGAGAAAACAUAACCCAGCCAUCCCGCGUGUGAGAUGAAGGCCUUCGGGUUGUAAAGCACUUUUGGCAGGAAAGCGGUACCUGCAGAAUAAGCACCGGCUAACUACGUGCCAGCAGCCGCGGUAAUAC
rnacentral:rRNA from 1 species